GGCAAGAUUCAGCUGGUGCAGGGUGUGUGGAGCAGACCUUUCUAGAGCCAAUGAAGUGCUUGAAUAUGUCAUCCUCAUCCCAGAACAAGGGUACGUUGCUGUCUUUGUGAAGAUGAUCCUAUAGAUCCUGGGUAGCGCUGAGCGUCGAGGAGAUCCUGCAGACCUGCAGUGUGAGCUGGAAGUACGUGUGGUCCCCUCCUGGAGCACUGCUGGGUGUAAGCUGAGCCCUGGAGCUGUCUGUAGGAGGCUGUGGUGGAGAGAGGUGCAGGGAUCCCAGGGGCAUCUGAUUUCCUGCUGCACCUUCUGCUCACACCCCCAAGAACUUCUGCCUUUCAGACCCCCCAGGAACCACAUGCAGGAAUUUGUGGAAAGGAGGUGGAAGUAUCCUGCCCUUCCGGAAUGAUGGGAGCCAUCUCUAUGAAGUAAUGCUGAAUUGUCAGGUGUCCAGAAGAUAUGAAAGUGAUGCUGCACAUCCUGGAACUGGCCUGGUGGAGCUGAAAGUGGAUGGAUGGAUGGACCCAGCCCUCUGAUCCGUGGCAGUGAGGCUGUGCAUUGUACAUGGAACCACUCACGUGAUUCCUGUCGAGCCAAAAUAUUCUUUCAGAAAGAGCAUUGACCAGAUGCCUUAUUAUUGCUGCUCACAAUGCUGUCCUCAGAGUACAACAAUCCAUCACGGAGCUCGGCGCAGCCCUACAGAAAAGUCCCUGACACAUUUUUACAGAAGGGCCAGGUGUAUUGAGAGCGUGGUGACUGAGGGAUGUACAGAAAGCCAAGCUGGAAGUGGAAGCACAGCCACAAAUGCGUGUGCACAGAGACCUGUCUGUAAUUCGUAGCUCACCAGGGUCUGCAGGUCAGAGGCUGAAAAGUGCUGCAUCAAAGGGGCUGAGUGUUGGAGAUGUGGCUGAGAUGGAAAUGAAGGUCUAAAGUCCCAAACUGGAAACCACCCAGGCCUCCUUGCUCAACUCCCUCCUGAUGCUCUGUGUCUCCCGCUGCCCUGAGACUGAACGUGGCUGGGUGUUCCACUUCUGAACUUCUGUGCUGAUGCCCCAGGAUGUGGAGGAACAGCUGCCAUUUGGCUCAGCACUAAGCUCAUUGUGUGGCAACUUUCCUAAAGGAGAUGGGAGCCAUGGCCAUAUCCCUAUGCAUCGCUGCGGUGUUCGUGUACAGAUGAACUGCUGUAUGCUUGGGGAAUUCCCAAGCUGUGUAUCUUCUUACCAAGGGAGGAGAUGUUUAGCUUUUCACCUUUCUCCUGGAUGCAGUUGGAUUUUGGGAGCUGAAAUAGCUAUGUCACAUCUCCUAUGUCAAAGGGGCAGCAAAAGGGAUGGAGCAGCACAAGGCCAAGUGUCAUGGCAGGAGAAGUGGAAGAGAAAGAACUCUGACCCGCAGAGGAGCAAGAAGCUGGGUGAGAAGCUGGCACCACCUUGGUGGAUCUAUGGCUGUAUAGUCUGUAAAAGCCUGACUCUGCUCUUUUGGGAAAGAAAAUGUAAGGACUGGCCCAGGGAUGUCAAGGCAGAUGCCAAAAUGAGAUGUCACCGAGGGCAUUUUUCACUGAGCAAUCUCCCUUCCCACUGCGAGUAGAAGACAAAGCUGUUUCUGCAGUUUGUACAUCCCUCCUGUACCACCACCCAUAACGUCCCUGAUAAAUGAAACUCAGUGCUGGCUGCCUAUCGUCCCGCCAGGAGCUGACCAGGGAGGACUUCUGCAGCCAGCUGAAAGCCCAUCGCAGACCAUGCUUCCUCAGUAAUCUGUCAUCAGCAAAGCACACUAUCAGGACAAAAAGUCAAACUUCUUUUUUUUUCCACUGAGUUCUGGUGAAGAGUCAGAGAUGUGGAAGCGACCUUUUUGAACUGGACCUUCUGGUGUUUCAGGCUCAACGCCUGCAGUGGAAUUGCCAGCUCAUGCCUGAACCAAUGAUUGAGCACCAGGUGAGGAGGCAUGGCUAAUCCAGGGAGCUCAGCUGCAAGCAAUACACCUGAGUGUCAAAAAUCACCCUCAUUUAAGGGUUAGCAGUGGAGGGAGCAGAGUUUCUCUGGAUAGGGAUCGUGCUUCUCUUGAGCUGCUACUGGUCAUCAGAAAGGGCUGCAAACAAGGCUGAAAUAACCAUUCUGGGUAAUAAGAGAGCUCCAUCACAUCGACUUGCUGCAUAAUUCCCUCCCGACAGACUGGCUUGGAUUUUGUUGCCUGCCUCUCUACCAGAUUAAAAGACCUCUGGUUUCCAAUACAUCAGACCAACGGCCUGCAGAAGAACAAUUAUCUCAGGGCUUUUAAUUGCUGUCAUAUUAGAAGGAUGCCAGAAGGAAAACACGAGGGAAAAGCCCCAUUCAGAGGUAGGUUCCUCUGCCAGGACUGGCUCAGAGGCAGCCUUUUUCCCUGAGUUUCAUUCACAGGAGCUUCUCAACUCUUUUACAAAGCUGCAUUUAGCCCUGGGUCCUGGCCAGCUCCUGCAAUCUCAUUUCCCUGGCAGUGAGGGUGGGAAGAGGGCCCUUGGUUUUGUUACCAAGCACUUCAGCCCUACCGAAGGCUGGGGAUGGAUGCUACCUCCCAGCCACCCGCUGUGCUGCACUGUGACUCUUUUAUUUUAGAAGGAAUGUAGUUAAACAGGGGAUAUUAGCUACUGGAAAAGCAACAGCAAAAUAUGCAAUGUUUCUAAAUUCUUACCAAAUAAAGGCUAAUUGUUCUGUGGAUAAAAUGAGGGGUCUUGGCCCUACAGCCAAGAUGCUGCAGACAGAAAGCAAAAGAAAAACAAGGCAAUGAACAAAACACAGAGAGGGCAACACAAACAAGAAAGCAAUGUGAUCUGUGAAACGAUUACAUGCAAUCUCUCCAUGUACUUAUACUGUAUGGGAGCUGCUCAGUCACGGCCUGAACCUCUGAUUGAUCACCUGAAGUGAGCCAUGAGUCAGCCAGAGGAGCACAGG